GACCUGGUAGCACAAUGAUUAGUGCAUCUGCCAGUAUUAAGCAGAUGAUGAGGGAAAAUGUAUGCAGAUGAUCCUGGUUCGAUUCCGGGUCGGGUCC